UACGUAGGGUGCAAGCGUUGUCCGGAAUUAUUGGGCGUAAAGGGUGCGUAGGCGGUUUGGUAAGUCUGAUGUGAAAUCUAUGGGCUCAACUCAUAGUCUGCAUCGGAAACUGCCGGGCUUGAGUGUGGGAGAGGUGAGUGGAAUUCCUGGUGUAGCGGUGAAAUGCGUAGAUAUCAGGAGGAACACCUGGUGGCGAAAGCGGCUCACUGGGCGAGUAACUGACGCUGGAGGAGCGAAAGCGUGGGGAGCGAACAGG
rnacentral:rRNA from 1 species